rnacentral:rRNA from 1 species
AGGACGAACGCUGGCGGCGUGCUUAACACAUGCAAGUCGAGCGGUAAGGCCCCUUCGGGGGUACACGAGCGGCGAACGGGUGAGUAACACGUGAGCAACCUACCCAUCACAUCGGGAUAACCCCCGGAAACGGGAGCUAAUACCGGAUAUGACCACCUCAGACAUCUGACGGUGGUGGAAAGUUCUGGCGGUGAUGGAUGGGCUCGCGGCCUAUCAGCUUGUUGGUGGGGUAACGGCCUACCAAGGCUUCGACGGGUAGCCGGCCUGAGAGGGUGACCGGCCACACUGGGACUGAGACACGGCCCAGACUCCUACGGGAGGCAGCAGUGGGGAAUAUUGGACAAUGGGCGAAAGCCUGAUCCAGCAACGCCGCGUGAGGGAUGACGGCCUUCGGGUUGUAAACCUCUUUCAGCAGGGACGAAGCGAAAGUGACGGUACCUGCAGAAGAAGCACCGGCCAACUACGUGCCAGCAGCCGC